CGGGGCGGCGGGCGGGACGGUGUGCACCUGCGCGGUGUGUUUCCCGGCCGGGGCCCCGCGCCAGGUGCAGCUCCUUGAUCCGAGCCGGAUCCUGAGCCGGGAACACGGGCUGAAGCGGCGGCGGCGGCCCCGCCCCGGGGCUCCAUUGUUGAGGCUGCGGCGGCUCUGUCGGCUGCUCAGCUGCGCUCCAGUCGGCCCAGGCGCCGCGGCGAGGAGCUAGCGCUGCGAGGCGGCGGCUUGAGAUUUCCUUUCCAGUGGACGGGCUUAGUGUCUCAUCCGGCAGUCCUGUUUCCUGGUGAUCUGGGCCAAGUGUCUCAUCCGGCUGUCCUGUUUCCUGGUGAUCUGGGCUUAGUGUCUCAUCCGGCAGUCCUGUUUCCUGGUGAUCUGGGCUUAGUGUCUUAUCCGGCAGCCCUGUUUCCUGGUGAUCUGGGCUGAGUGGCUCCAUGAGAAGUUGCACCCAUCUUCUCCAGUAGUGCGUCUUUUCACAGCAAGCAAAACAUUUUCACCAUGUUUCUAGCGGGACAGGCACUAGCUCUUUUCUGGACAUCAGGAGACCUGGCUUUGUUCUGGUUCAAGCAACAGCUGGUGAGUUACCAAAGACAAGUCGCAUCUGGCCCCUGGUCCUUUGCUUUAUAAGUAGAAUCACAGUCCGAGUGGGCAUCACUGCCCUGGUCUCUAUGCGGUGCUGAGUGUUGUGGGGAUGAUGGCUAAGUGUCAGGAUGCAUUUCCACCACUAGGGGAUUAUAGGCCAGCCAAAGACACAGGAGGAAAGCUAACAGCCCUGGGCAGGUACACAGAACCAGAGGAGUUUGAAAGGGUGGUUCCAAGCUCCUUGGUGUGAUUGAUGUGAUCACAAUAAACAUUUUAUCUCUAAGUCUUGGGUCAUUGGACCAACAGAAGAGAGAGCUGGUGUUGAGUUGUAGUGAGAGGUGCGUGGUUUGUGAGCCUGCUGAGCCUGGCUGGGACUCAAUUCCAUUGAGUCCCAUUCCAUUUUACCUUCUGUUUCCACCUUUUUCGUGCUCCUGCUUGUUUCUCCAGAAAAAAAAUGCAAUAAAUUCCUUUCAAAAACUUUACAAAAGCCAUAGAUGCUUAUUGAAAAUAGUUCAAAUGAUUUGGAAGACAGAAAGAUAGUGAGUGUUUUUCUCCUGUGUGUUUGGAUGAAUGUGUCUUUGGGGUAGUCACUAUUAACACUGGGUGUAUUUCCUUCCAGAUCUUUUCCAGUGUACCUACAAAUAUACAUGUACACAUAGUAAAAAACAAAAUAGUACCUGAUAGACAUUGAGUUCCCCUACUCCCACUCCGCAGUCUACAUGGACAUCCUUUCAGGGUGAUACGAUGAGACCUGAUCGACUCCUUUUGUUCGCUGGAGUGGCAGGUAAUAAUAGCUACAGAUAACUCACCUUCAGUGGGCAUUUACCAUGUGACAGGGUCUGUGCUCCAGGCAGGCUACAUGAAGUGGGUCUUAAGGCUUUUUACAACAAUGCUAUGGGUGAACACAGUAAUUGUUAACAUUUUGCAAAUGAUAGAAUUGCAGUAGAGAGAAGCAAAGCUGCUUGCUCAAACUCAUGGCACGAUUCUUGAGAGAGAGAGAACACUUUUAAAACAAUUG
ensembl:lncRNA